rnacentral:lncRNA from 1 species
AGCGCAGCCGCCAAGUGCUAGCCGCGCUCGGCUAAGGAGCUUGGAUUUGAUUCCCAGGGCACCAGAGAGCCAUGGGAAGACUGAAGAGGACAGUGACCCGGUGGGAUUUGUGUAUCUGGAAGAUCCCUCGAGUUUCCCGGAAGCUGGAAGGACUGAUGCUCAUGUCCCAGUGUCUGGGGAAGGAACUUCUGUCUGUCCUCUUCACUGCCUGGUCCCCAGAGCCUAGAACAAAGCUCAGCACGCGGGAGGCGCUCAACAAACACUCGUUCACUGAAGCGAAAGGAGGGAAAGGUGAAUUUGAGCUCCAUGCAGACAAGAGAUUCCAAGGGGCCCUGGAGGAGAGUCCCAGCCCAGCCACAGGCACGGGGAUGUGCACCAGGGAGGAGGGGCUCGGAUGGGCAGGACACCUCCACAGCGUGGCUUGAUGAGCGGCGCAUAGGUCUGUGCCGGGGAUCCGAACCAGCAAACCCCAGGAUGCCGAAGCAGAGUGUGUGAACUUAAUCACUACACCACUGGGCCGGCCCCGAACGUUUAUAUCUAUCUCCCGGCAGGAGCUGUGCUGGGGUUUCACAUGUCCUAGCGUCUCUCUUUCUUAGCCUGGUCGGAAGUUACAUGAAUAACACACAUUUGUCCUGGAGCGUCUCCCAUGGUUUGGAUCCAGCGGACUGCGCCCCGAGGUGUCAUUUGUGGUGUCCCGAUGUUCUCUGUGUUUUGUAAAACUUGGCAGAUAGAUCCAGACCAGAGCUGUUGAAAUAAAAACAUAACGUGAGCCACAGACCCAAGUCACGUGCCUCACUUUAAAUUUUCUAGUAGCCACUCCACUUUAAUUUUAAAGGGUAAAAAGGAAUGUAUUUUCAUCAUUUAAUUUGAGCCCAAGGCAUCCACAGUUUGAUUAUUUCAACAUGUAACCAAUAAUAAAUUAGUUAUUUUACAUUCCUUUUGUUCCCUCUUGCCGAGUCUUCAAAAUCUAGUGUGUAGUGUACAUUUGCAGUGCGUCUCCAUUCGGACUGGCCACUUUUCUAGUAUUUAUCAGUCACAGAUGACUCAUAGCUACUAUUUUGGAAAACUUUUGGACGUGGAACACUCUAGGCAUCUCUUCAGCAUCAGAUUUGAUUUUUCAGCAAGGCAACUUCGUCAGUGGAGAUGUGUCCUUCCACUAAAAGAAACCCUGCCUGAGCUCAGCCAGCCAUCGACGUGUCUCUCACCAGCUUCUUUGCUCAGAAACACGUUUCAGAAGAAAAAUUGGAAUACCCCGGAUACAGAGUUUGGAUUUCUGGAUUUCUUACUGAACACACCCUGUCUGCUCUCCCAGACCACUUCCUUAAAAUGGUUUGCAACUUGCAAGUGUGUUGCACUCCGUGGCCCUGCCCUUGUGUUGGGACAUCGAGGUUGUUUCCGAAGUAUUAGUCAUUGUCACAACAAGUCAUUGGCUGGGGACGUGGUAUCGCUGGUUCCUGAAGACAUUGCGAUUUAAAAUGAAUAAUUAACCCUGAAAAUAAAACUGUAAAUGUUCUGUGAGAAAAAAUGUGAGAACCCCUUUGUAACCUUCAGGGAGAAAGGACUUUCUGUGACUUAAAACCCAGGAGGCCUAAGAAUUUAAGGUUUGCUCUCUCUGCGCGUGCGCGUGCGCACGGGCGCGCGCGCGCACACACACACACACACACACACAACUUCUGGAUGGCAAAAAAAAAGGCAGAGGAGAGUCAGAGACAAAUGACAAACGGAAGAAAAAGUUUGCAAUUCACACCACAAAGACCUCAGCUGCCUAAUAAAGAGCUCCUGGGAAUCAAUAAGAAAAAGAACAACGUAGCAAUUUCAAACAAAAGACAAAGGAAACAAGAGGCUGUCAAACUUUUGAAAGGAGGAUCUUCUACUGAGACCGAUGAAAAUCAAAACUGUGUGAGAUGCCAC